rnacentral:rRNA from 1 species
CAGCCGCCGCGGGAAUACGGAGGGAGCUAGCGUUGUUCGGAAUUACUGGGCGUAAAGCGCACGUAGGCGGCUUUGUAAGUUAGAGGUGAAAGCCCGGGGCUCAACUCCGGAAUAGCCUUUGAGACUGCAUCGCUUGAACACGGGAGAGGUGAGUGGAAUUCCGAGUGUAGAGGUGAAAUUCGUAGAUAUUCGGAAGAACACCAGUGGCGAAGGCGGCUCACUGGACCGUUGUUGACGCUGAGGUGCGAAAGCGUGGGGAGCAAACAGGAUUAGAUACCCGAGUAGUCCCUGUCUCUUAUAC